UGCGAGUCGCGCGAGAAUGUAGCAAUACAGGAAAGCGGCGAAAGGGAGAGGACAACAUGGGAAUCUGCCCGGGGGACGAGGAUAGCGUCGGGAAACUGACGGUAAUACUCGAUAAUGUUUGCGGACCAAAGGUGAGAUUCCGCCCCUGGAUGAGCCCAUGCCCCAUUAGCUUGUUGGCGGUGUAAUAGACCACCAAGGCGAUGAUGGGUAGCUGGUGUGAGAGCACGACCAGCCUCACUGGCACUGAGACACUGGCCAGACACCUACGGGUGGCUGCAGUCGAGAAUCUUCGGCAAUGGACGAAAGUCUGACCGAGCGACGCCGCGUGCGGGACGAAGGCCUUCGGGUUGUAAACCGCUGUCGUAGAGGAUCAAAGGUAAUUGGGUUCUCCCUUUUAUUUGAGUGAUUCUAGGAGGAAGGAGAGGCUAAGCUCGUGCCAGCAGCCGCGGUAAGACGAGCUCUCCAAACGUUAUUCGGUAUCACUGGGCUUAAAGAGUUCGUAGGCGGCUUUGUAGGUGGGGUGUGAAAGCCCUCGGCUUAACCGAGGAACUGCGCCCCAAACCACAAGGCUUGAGGGAUAUAGGGGUAAGCGGAACAGAUGGUGGAGCGGUGAAAUGCAUUGAUAUCAUCUGGAACACCGGUGGCGAAGGCGGCUUACUGGAUAUUUUCUGACGCUGAGGAACGAAAGCUAGGGUAGCGAACGGGAUUAGAUACCCCGGUAGUCCUAGCCGUAAACGAUGAACACUAGUCUGAAGGACUCUCACAGUCUUUCGGACGUAGCGAAAGUAUUAAGUGUUCCGCCUGGGGAGUAUGGUCGCAAGGCUGAAACUCAAAGGAAUUGACGG
rnacentral:rRNA from 1 species